AGAGUUUGAUCCUGGCUCAGGAUGAACGCUAGCUACAGGCUUAACACAUGCAAGUCGAGGGGCAGCAUGGAAGAAGCUUGCUUCUUCUGAUGGCGACCGGCGCACGGGUGCGUAACGCGUAUCAAACCUGCCUCAUACUCGGGGAUAGCCUUGCGAAAGUAAGAUUAAUACCCGAUGUUGUUAUGUUACCGCAUGGUGAUAUAACCAAAGAUUUAUCGGUAUGAGAUGGUGAUGCGUCCGAUUAGGUAGUAGGCGGGGUAACGGCCCACCUAGCCUUCGAUCGGUAGGGGUUCUGAGAGGAAGGUCCCCCACACUGGAACUGAGACACGGUCCAGACUCCUACGGGAGGCAGCAGUGAGGAAUAUUGGUCAAUGGACGGAAGUCUGAACCAGCCAAGUAGCGUGCAGGAUGACGGCCCUCUGGGUUGUAAACUGCUUUUAGUUGGGAAUAAAAAAGAGGACGUGUCCUCUAUUGUAUGUACCUUCAGAAAAAGGACCGGCUAAUUCCGUGCCAGCAGCCGCGGUAAUACGGAAGGUCCAGGCGUUAUCCGGAUUUAUUGGGUUUAAAGGGAGCGUAGGCGGAUUAUUAAGUCAGUGGUGAAAGACGGUGGCUCAACCAUCGUUAGCCAUUGAAACUGGUAGUCUUGAGUGCAGACAGGGAUGCUGGAACUCGUGGUGUAGCGGUGAAAUGCUUAGAUAUCACGAUGAACUCCGAUCGCGAAGGCAGGUGUCCGGGCUGCAACUGACGCUGAGGCUCGAAAGUGUGGGUAUCAAACAGGAUUAGAUACCCUGGUAGUCCACACAGUAAACGAUGUAUACUCGCGGUUUGCGAUAGAAUGUAAGCCGCCAAGCGAAAGCAUUAAGUAUACCACCUGGGGAGUACGCCGGCAACGGUGAAACUCAAAGGAAUUGACGGGGGCCCG
rnacentral:rRNA from 1 species